AAUAGAUACCCUGGUAGUCCACGCCGUAAACGAUGAGUGCUAGGUGUUGGGGGGUACCACCCUCAGUGCCGAAGCUAACGCAUUAAGCACUCCGCCUGGGGAGUACGGUCGCAAGACUGAAACUCAAAGGAAUUGACGGGGGCCCGCACAAGCAGUGGAGCAUGUGGUUUAAUUCGAAGCAACGCGAAGAACCUUACCAAGACUUGACAUCCCGCUGACCGCUCUAGAGAUAGAGUUUCCCUUCGGGGCAGCGGUGACAGGUGGUGCAUGGUUGUCGUCAGCUCGUGUCGUGAGAUGUUGGGUUAAGUCCCGCAACGAGCGCAACCCUUACAUUGUGUUGCCAUCAUUUGGUUGGGCACUCACAAUGGACUGCCGGUGACAAACCGGAGGAAGGCGGGGAUGACGUCAAAUCAUCAUGCCCCUUAUGUCUUGGGCUACACACGUGCUACAAUGGGCGGUACAAAGGGAUGCGAAACCGCGAGGUGGAGCCAAUCUCAUAAAGCCGUUCGUAGUUCGGAUUGCAGG
rnacentral:rRNA from 1 species